rnacentral:rRNA from 1 species
GACGAACGCUGGCGGCGUGCCUAAUACAUGCAAGUAGAACGCUGAAGGAGGAGCUUGCUUCUCUGGAUGAGUUGCGAACGGGUGAGUAACGCGUAGGUAACCUGCCUGGUAGCGGGGGAUAACUAUUGGAAACGAUAGCUAAUACCGCAUAAGAGUAGAUGUUGCAUGACCUUUGCUUAAAAGGUGCAAUUGCAUCACUACCAGAUGGACCUGCGUUGUAUUAGCUAGUUGGUGGGGUAACGGCUUACCAAGGCGACGAUACAUAGCCGACCUGAGAGGGUGAUCGGCCACACUGGGACUGAGACACGGCCCAGACUCCUACGGGAGGCAGCAGUAGGGAAUCUUCGGCAAUGGACGGAAGUCUGACCGAGCAACGCCGCGUGAGUGAAGAAGGUUUUCGGAUCGUAAAGCUCUGUUGUAAGAGAAGAACGAGUGUGAGAGUGGAAAGUUCACACUGUGACGGUAUCUUACCAGAAAGGGACGGCUAACUACGUG